CGGGACGGGUGAGUAAUGUCUGGGAAACUGCCUGAUGGAGGGGGGUAACUACUGGAAACGGUAGCUAAUACCGCAUAACGUCGCAAGACCAAAGAGGGGGACCUUCGGGCCUCUUGCCAUCGGAUGCGCCCAGAUGGGAUUAGCUAGUAGGUGGGGUAACGGCUCACCUAGGCGACGAUCCCUAGCUGGUCUGAGAGGAUGACCAGCCACACUGGAACUGAGACACGGUCCAG
rnacentral:rRNA from 1 species